GCAGCCCCAGGGCAGCGGCUCCUGUCCCCAAGUCCUCGGGCCCUCCUCCAGCCUCCCUUCGGCGCAGGACCCUGGGGGAGCUCGUCCCCACCGCCAAGCCGCUCGCCCUUCCCCGUUCGCCGCCCGGAGGUUCGGGAAGGAGACACACCCGGGCCAGGCGCGGUUGCUCGCGCCUGCAAUACCAGCACUUUGGGAGGCGGAGGCGGGCGGAUCACCUGAGGUCGGGAGUGCGACCAGCCUGGCCAACAUGGCGAAACCGUGUCUCUCCCAAAAAUACAAAAAUUAGCUGGGCGUGGUGGCACGAGUCUGCAAUCCCAGCUACUCCGGAGGCUGAGGCAGGAGAAUCGCUUGAACCCGGGAGAGGCUGCAGUGAGCCGAGAUCCCGCCAUUGCAC
rnacentral:lncRNA from 10 species